CAAGUCGCACGAGAAAGCGGGAGCAAUCUCGCAAGUACAGUGGCGUACGGGUGAGUAACACGUGGAUGAUCUACCUUUUAGUGGGGAAUAACGCUGGGAAACCGGCGCUAAUACCGCAUAAGCUCGAGAGAGGAAAGCAGCAAUGCGCUGAAAGAGGAGUCCGCGGCCGAUUAGCUAGUUGGGAGGGUAAAAGCCUACCAAGGCAUAGAUCGGUAGCCGGCCUGAGAGGGCACACGGCCACACUGGCACUGAAACACGGGCCAGACUCCUACGGGAGGCAGCAGUGGGGAAUCUUGCACAAUGGGGGCAACCCUGAUGCAGCGACGCCGCGUGAGCGAUGAAGCCCUUCGGGGUGUAAAGCUCUUUCGUCAGGGACGAUAAUGACGGUACCUGGAGAAGCAGCUGCGGCUAACUACGUGCCAGCAGCCGCGGUAAUACGUAGGCAGCGAGCGUUGUUCGGAGUUACUGGGCGUAAAGGGUGUGUAGGCGGUUUUCUAAGUUUGGUGUGAAAUCUCCCGGCUCAACCGGGAGGGUGCGCCGAAAACUGGGAGACUAGAGUGCGGGAUGGGAGAGUAGAAUUCCUGGUGUAGCGGUGAAAUGCGUAGAUAUCAGGAGGAAUACCGGUGGUGUAGACGGCUCUCUGGACCGCCACUGACGCUGAGACACGAAAGCGUGGGUAGCAAACAGGAUUAGAUACCCUGGUAGUCCACGCCCUAAACGAUGCAUAUUUGGUGUAGGUCAUUCAGUUGAUCUGUGCCGGAGCUAACGCGUUAAAUAUGCCGCCUGGGGAGUACAGUCGCAAGGCUGAAACUCAAAAGGAAUUGACGGGGGCCCGCACAAGCGG
rnacentral:rRNA from 1 species